rnacentral:pre_miRNA from 1 species
UUUGGCAAUGGUAGAACUCACACGGGCAGCUUUGGGCUCGUGGUUCUAGACUUGCCAAAAA